UACGAAGGGGGCUAGCGUUGCUCGGAAUCACUGGGCGUAAAGCGCACGUAGGCGGAUUGCUAAGUCAGGGGUGAAAUCCUGGAGCUCAACUCCAGAACUGCCUUUGAUACUGGCGAUCUUGAGUCCGGGAGAGGUGAGUGGGACUGCGAGUGUAGAGGUGAAAUUCGUAGAUAUUCGCAAGAACACCAGUGGCGAAGGCGGCUCACUGGCCCGGUACUGACGCUGAGGUGCGAAAGCGUGGGGAGCAAACAGG
rnacentral:rRNA from 1 species